rnacentral:rRNA from 1 species
AACGAACGCUGGCGGCAGGCUUAACACAUGCAAGUCGAACGCCCCGCAAGGGGAGUGGCAGACGGGUGAGUAACGCGUGGGAAUCUACCUAGUUCUACGGAACAACACAGGGAAACUUGUGCUAAUACCGUAUACGCCCUACGGGGGAAAGAUUUAUCGGAAUUAGAUGAGCCCGCGUAAGAUUAGCUAGUUGGUGGGGUAAUGGCCUACCAAGGCGACGAUCUUUAGCUGGUCUGAGAGGAUGAUCAGCCACACUGGGACUGAGACACGGCCCAGACUCCUACGGGAGGCAGCAGUGGGGAAUAUUGGACAAUGGGCGAAAGCCUGAUCCAGCCAUGCCGCGUGAGUGAUGAAGGCCUUAGGGUUGUAAAGCUCUUUCAGUAGGGAAGAUAAUGACGGUACCUGGAGAAAAAGCCCCGGCUAACUCCGUGCCAGCCGCCGCAGUAACAC